AUAAAAGUUUUUCGCGAAAUAUAAAAAAUAAUUUUUCAAAAAAUUUAUUUUUUCUGCGAACCAAACACAUGGAAAAUUUUUUUCUAGCCUGAAAAAAAUUUUCUAAGGUAUUUUUCAAAGAACCAAAUAGGCUUUUAUGACUUUAGGUACCAAACUAUCAUGUCUUAAGCCACCUGUGCUAGUGUCGAUCAGUAAUUCUGGUAAGUUAUAUAUUUUUUGAGAGAGAUAGGUAGCACGCUACCCGCUUCGUUUAUUUUAUUUAGAAAUAAACUUAGCUAGAAAUGUGAAUCAACUAGGAUUCGAAUUUGGGUCUCGGGUACCAACCACCAAGCCCUUUGCCACUUGCUCUGGGAACGGUCGGUCUGGUAAGUUAUAUGUUAUUGAUACAAAUCGAAUAUAACUGUUU
rnacentral:lncRNA from 1 species